ensembl:lncRNA
GGCGGGAUGUGAUUCACCAGCAAGGAGGGACGCCAAUAAAGUGAUCUUAGAAGUCUUUCUUCUCUCUCUACGAUGAAAAGUUUGAAUGAGAUAUAGAAAACACAACAGUGGAAGACAUUGCUGCUUGCAAAACAAAAGGAUGGGGCUUCCUGAAAAAAAAAAUAACUAGAGGAGAAAAGAUAUGAACUGUAUAACAAAGGAAUGGGGACACGAAAUGAUCUCAGGAACUACACAGCACAGAAUGUUCUAGAAUCAAAAGCCUCAUUUAUAAAGAUAGGACAAAUCAUUUUAAGUUCUAACAUCAUAUCCUGUGCUGGCACAUGGAAACAAAAAAUGCUACAAUAUACACCACAUCUAGCUACAAGGGAUUUUGAGGAGUAUGGUUCCGAGUUGCAAGAUUUUGCAAAAUAGUAAAUUGCAUUUGGCAGGAGUAAAAGCAAAAGGUGACCAAGUCAAAUUGCAUGCUUGAUCUACAGGAAUACAGCGGCAAGAUGUGAUCCACUGGCAUGGAAGGACACCAAUAAGGCAUCCGAUAAGAUAAGUCUUAUAAAAUAUAUAGGUUUAUGAUAGUUAAGACUGAGAUAACAGAUGAGAAUCCUAGUCAUUGGCCAUACAGCAUUGUACCUAAUAUAAGUUUCUGUGUAUUCAUUUGGGCCUAACUCGGGCGGGCGGCUGACGUAAAGCUCACACGUGGCGGUGGGGCUCAGGUGGUUUUGGCAGAAAGAUUUAUCAUAACAGAUGCCCAUGUCAGCCAGGGCAUCUUCACCUUGUCUCAUCCCCCUGCCAGCUGAGGAACACACGUAGAGCCUUGGGGAAGAGUUAAUGAGUAUAUAGGCUGGGUAGUCUUUGUCAUCAAAUUAAGGAUUUGUUCUUUCUUUUUAGAGAAUGAAACACUGCUGGACUUUAAAGAAUUACAUACCCUUCUGAGGUAUACAUUGAAUGUAAAGUGUGCUAAAAGAUUGUAGAGGCAGCACAAGAGAUAGCAGUUCAAUGAGUGUUGUAACCCAUCUUUGUGGGGCCUUCAUUUAGAUCCAGCUGACUUUCCUGGUUUGUUCCUGAGAUGGGGAGUGUGGAUUGAGAAAUGGCUGAGUUAUGUAACCAAAAAUACCUGAGAUUGGUCAUUUAUAAGGACUGAAGUGUUUUGUCACAGUUCUGAAGGCUGGACCUUCCAAGUUUAGCAUGCUCCCCAUUGGUACCUGUGAAGCUUCCUGUUGGCUGGUCUAGAAGCCCACUGCCAGGAUGUGGAGGAAGGUGUGAGUACGCCAGUCACCUCCAUUUUUCUGACUCAACAUGUGGCCCCUGUUGGUUCUGGCUAUUGUGGAUAAUGCUGCUAUGAACAUUGUUGAGCAAGUGUCCUUGUGGUAUGAUUGAGCAUCCUUUGGCUAUAUGCCCAAGAGUGAGCAGAAUUCUGGGUCUUAAGGACCUCCAUCCUAAAGGAAGUUUCAUGCCCCUUGCUGGAUCUGCCAACUGAACAUAACAUAACAAGAUGCAAGAAACAAAAAAUGCACAGACUGUCAUAUCAAGGUAGAACCUCAUAAAUGUCACUUCCAAAUUUGGCUGCCACUGGGGAUGGAGAGGGAAAUGUGGGACCUGUUGCCCCCUUUCAUCACUUUUGGAGCAGCUUCUGGCUUCAGUUUUUAAGAUCAGAGAACACCUUAAGCUUCUCUUCCAAGAGUUGGAAGCUUAGCGAGGUGGGUUCUUGUCCUGAGUAUACCCUUCCCUUUAUUCCAAUCAGGCUUCUUCUUAAACACCUAAUUUCUUUUAGACUACAGCCUCUCUUCUAGUACAGCCAUGGUUAUAGAAUCAAGCUUGUCAUUUUCUUUUUUUCUCCAAAGUGAAUGUUUCCUAUUUCUUUCUGCCCCAUAUGCUCCUUUUCAUUGUAGACCUGCAUAAGAGUGAUAGUUAUUAACCAUAUAGCAAAGCUAAAAUUGGACUGUCUUGAAAUCUCCUAUGGCAAUAAAAUUAGUUCAUUCUUUUAAAAUACAUCCUUAAGCAAAUUAUCAGUCCAUGGGCAGAAAGAAGCCAUAUCUUUUGCAAAAAUACCACACAAGGAGCCUCUACCCCAAUUGCUAAUAUUGUUCUCAUCUUAAAAAUUUUGAUCCAGGUAGGGUAUCAUAUUCUAUAUAGCACUACCAUCUAACUAGCUUCUGCUAGAACAGCCCAUUAAGCUCUGCUUAGAAUGUUCAAAUUCUUCUCUAGUGCAAAGUUUCAAUGUUUUCCACAUUCCUCAAAAAGAAAAAGUCAUAUUUUCACAACCCCCACUCUCUCUCUCUCUCUCUCUCUCUCUCUCUCUCUCUCUCUCUCUCUCUCUCUCCUUGUAUUUUUACCUGGCUUGUGUGUUAGGGUGAUACUGGCUUCAUAGACGAGCUUUAGAGUUCUCUCUCUUUCUCUCAUUCUCUCUCUCUCUCUCUCUCUCUCUCUCUCUCUCUCUCUCUCUCUCUCUUUCUCUCAGUUUAAGACAAACUGGCUGUGAAUCUUGGGAUGUCUGGUAGAAUUCUGCUGUGAAUUAAUCAAGUUCUGAACUUUCUUCUACCUGAAACAUUUUUUCAUUACUAUUUUAAUCGCUUCAUUUGGUUGUGGGUAUGUUUGGAUAUUUGGUUUGUUGACUUCUUUGUUUAAUUUUGGUGCUUUGGCUGAAUCCAGAGAUUAAUCCAUUUAAGUUUCCCAGUUUAAUGGGACACAGUUUUUAAACACUUGUACCUCGAUUCAAGAGGCUGUUUUGAGAGUCUUUGGAGGUGUGUCUUGCUAAGGAAGUACAACACUGGAGGUGGCCUUUUAGAGUUUGAGGCCUCAUCCCACUUGGGGUUUUGCUUUCCCUGCUUCUUGUCUGUCAAUCAAGAGGUAAGCUCUUAGCUUGUUACUACAUCUGUCAUACCUGCCACUUGCUACCAUACUUCCCCCACCAUGAUGAGCCAACAACUGACAAGUGGGACCUCAUUAAAAUAAAUGGUUCUGCACAGUUGAAGAAACAACUAAUUGGAUAAAGAGAAAGCCCAAAUGGGAGAUAAUCCUUGCCCGGUAUACAUCUGACAGAGAAUUAGUAUCCAGAAUAAGCAAAGAAACAAAGCACAAAGAAUCAAAACAACAAAUGACCCAUUCGAAAUAUGGAUCUUGGACCUGAAUAAAGAGUUUCCAAAAGAAGAAAAAAAAUGUCUGCGAGAUAGUUCAAGGAUAUUCAUUGCCCCUAGUAAUUAUGGAGACGUAAGUAUAAACAAAUUUGAGAUUUUCUCUUACCUUAUUGGAAAUGGCAAAGAUCAAGGCAACAACAAGCAAAUAGUGGAGGAGAUGCAGGGAAAAGGAAACUACCAUUCAUUGUAAGUAGCUACUGUGGAAAUAAGUAUGGACAAUUCUUAAAAAGCUAAAAAUAAACCUUCCACAUGACCUAGCCACAACACUGUUUAGCUUAUACUGAAUGGACUCAAAAUUUUCAAAGAAUAUACUCCACAGAUACUUGCUCAGUCAUGUUCAUUUUUUCUCUAUUAACACUAGCUAGGUAAUGUAAACACUGAAUGUCCUAUAACAGAUGAACGGAUAGUGAGAAUAUGGUAGAUAUACACUAUAGAUUACUACUGAACUGUAAAGAAAAACAAUACAAUGAACUUUGCAGAUAAAUGGACCUAGAAAAUAUCUUAUUGAGUGAGAUAACCACCACCCAAGAAGACAAAUGCCUCAGUUCUCUCUCACUGGAGACUCCUAGCUCCAAAUCUUCAGAGUACAUUGUCCAGAAACCAGGAAGGUAAAGUGGGACCAUUCCCUGAAUAAAGCAGUUGAGGAGCAGUAGAGAGAGGAAUAUCAGGAUACAAGUCAUCUGAUCAGGGAAAUGGAAAGGGGGGAUCCUUAGCGAGAGGAACAAACAGAAAAAGGUAAGAGGAAGGAUAACAGGGAUAGAGGAUAUAAGUGAUCUGAUAAGGAAAUAGGAGAAGUGGGCUUCUUUAGGGAUGUGGAAGACAGUAAUACAGAAGAAGGGUGGAGGUGGGUAAAAUAAGAAUAACAGUGUCUGAAAUAUCCACAAGAAAUUACACUCUUACUUAUUUAAAAUACCUAUAUAUAUUAUAUGCAUAAUUCCACAUUUAAGUUGUAAGUUUAAUAAACGUUUGUCUUUUGUGCUGAUAGUCCUCCAUCCUAGAGCUAAAGACUCCCUAUCAAAAACCCCAAUGCCAGACAUGUGAAGCCCUCUUCUGAUUUCUUGGCCAGGGUUGUCCAAAAGCUACCACCUAUUGCCGUCACUUCGGUUAGUGCCUAAGGUGGAAGGCUAAGUCCUGAUUGAUGAAAAUGAUGCCAUACACUUCAGAACCAGGUCCCAGAGACCCGUGAGCUUCCAUGGUAACAGAAGGCACCAUGAAAUAUUCCAAUAAAGAGAUACAACCAAUAUCCUAUCUAGCUAUGACACCUAUAAAUCACAUCAAUGACUAGCAUGGCAUGAUCAUCCUAAGGGGACAACAUUAUCCUUACGUAUACCUUGUCAGGAACUCAUUAAGUGUACCCAAGACCCACUCAAAAAAAAAAGGAAAGAAGACCAGCUACUGGAAACCCAGCUAACUAUUCAGUGCUAGUGAAAUCAUGAAUAUUUGAGGAGAAUCUAUAAUCUAUUUACUAAAGUAGCAUAAUCCCUAAUGACAAUCUAUAAACAUUUGCUCUCAUACUCACAGAUAAGUACAGUCUUUACCCCACACCAAGAAAAUUUCUCUUUGUAAUAGAGACCACCACAGAAACCACAACCAACCAAAAUGCAGAGUUAUGAAGCUUAGUUCCAAUAGAUACAUCCAUACAAUAUUCAGGAAAAACUGCUAAAGAAGGAUCAUAAAGAUUGUAAGAGCCACACAUAGUAUUAAUGAUUUCACUGUGAGAUUGUCUUUUGGUAAUAUCAGAAACAAUACUCAAAAACUCUCACCAGUAUUCUGCCCAAACACAUUCUAAGCAAGUAUGAUACCAAUGGACAUGACAAAGUUGAUUGGGGAAAGCCUACCAGGCCUCAAUACAAAGAACUCUAGAUAACUAGGGACUCUGGGAGCAGAAGAGGUGGUCUUCCACAGAGAAGACCAAUUCAUUUUCCAGUAGCAAAAUGUCAACCCUCAAAACAUGCAUAUACAUAAUAUUAUACCGCCUGAACAGGUGAUAUUUAGGAAUAUAUAUGUAUAUACAUUUAUAUAUACACAUUCAAUAAUGACUAGUGAAGAAACAGGACAUGAAUAAAAAGAACAAUGAGCAGGGGUAGAUAAGGUAGGUAGGUAAGGUUGGGAGGGAAGAAGGGGGAGGGAAUAAUGUUGUAAUUAUAUUAUAUUAUAAAGAAAACUACCAAAUAAACUAAGAAUGAAACUGAACCUCAAUAUAAAAGAAGAAAACUGUACACGCCUCCAGCCAGCCUCACACAUACUGAUAAAAUUUUUUAUGGCUUCUCUGUAUGGAGAAAAGUGAAGCAAUGAUUUCUGGUCUUGCCAAGUCAGCACUUUAUGGUCUCAUGAGUCCCAAAUAUGCAAAUAAAAGUCACAUAGUCUUAUUUUUUAUAGAGAGAACACUAAAACUCAAGAAGAAAUGCACUAGAAACAAUAACUAACACUAGCAAAUCUGCAGAAUUUGGCAUCAAUGUAUAAACUUUCAUUCUACUUGCAUACUCUGGAUAUGAAAAGUCAGAAAAUAAAGUUUAAAAAGAACAAUUCUAGCUAGUAAUGUAGCUCCAAAAUAGAACAUGUUCUAAGUACAAAGAUGUUGGUUCUAUCCCUGACCCCCAAAACUAUAGUAAAGAACAAUUUCAUUGCUGGCAUAGUUAAUAUUUAUGAGAUAUUUUGUGUAAAUUUUUUAAUCUUCAAUGCUUAUAUACUCAAAAAUGAAAAAUAUUUAUGCAAUAAAUGUGAAUGUUUAAGUGGAAGAGUAUAUUCUAUUAAAAACAGACUAACGCAAUUAAAUCAUGUUCUUUUUCCAGUAAACUGGUAUGCGUGUAUAGAUUUAAUAUUUUCUCAGAAAAAAACACAGCAAUCCUUUAAGUAGAAAAUGAGAAGCUGAU